rnacentral:rRNA from 1 species
GAUGAACGCUAGCGGCAGGCUUAAUACAUGCAAGUCAAGGGGGUAGCAAUACAACCGGCGCACGGGUGAGUAACACGUACACAACAUACCAUAUACUGAGGUAUAGCUUCGGGAAACUGAAGGUAAUCCCUCAUAGUAUUGUGAAAGGGCAUCUUUUUACAAUUAAAGUUUCGACGGUAUAUGAUUGGUGUGCGUUUGAUUAGCUAGUUGGUAGGGUAACGGCCUACCAAGGCAACGAUCAAUAGCUGGCGUGAGAGCGCGACCAGCCACACUGGAACUGAGACACGGUCCAGACUCCUACGGGAGGCAGCAGUAGGGAAUAUUGGACAAUGGGCGAAAGCCUGAUCCAGCCAUGCCGCGUGAUAGAUGAAGGCCCUCUGGGUUGUAAAUAUCUUUAUCUGGGAAGAAACACUUCUAUUCUUAGAAGCUUGACGGUACCAGAGGAAUAAGCACCGGCGUAACUCCGUGCAGCAGCCGC